UACGUAGGGGGCAAGCGUUGUCCGGAAUCAUUGGGCGUAAAGAGCGUGUAGGCGGCUUUACAGGUCCGUUGUGAAAACUCGAGGCUCAACCUCGAGACGCCGGUGGAAACCGUAAGGCUAGAGUCCGGAAGAGGAGAGUGGAAUUCCUGGUGUAGCGGUGAAAUGCGCAGAUAUCAGGAGGAACACCCGUGGCGAAAGCGGCUCUCUGGGACGGUACUGACGCUGAGACGCGAAAGCGUGGGGAGCAAACAGG
rnacentral:rRNA from 1 species